rnacentral:rRNA from 1 species
UACAGAGGGGGCAAGCGUUGUUCGGAAUUACUGGGCGUAAAGGGCGCGUAGGCGGCCUGCUAAGUCGAACGUGAAAUCCCUGGGCUCAACCCGGGAACUGCGUCCGAUACUGGCAGGCUUGAAUCCGGGAGAGGGAUGCGGAAUUCCAGGUGUAGCGGUGAAAUGCGUAGAUAUCUGGAGGAACACCGGUGGCGAAGGCGGCAUCCUGGACCGGCAUUGACGCUGAGGCGCGAAAGCCAGGGGAGCAAACGGG